rnacentral:rRNA from 1 species
ACGGGAGAAUUGCUAGCUUGCUAAUAAUUCUCUAGUGGCGCACGGGUGAGUAACACGUGAGUAACCUGCCCCCAAGAGUGGGAUAGCCCCGGGAAACUGGGAUUAAUACCGCAUAAAAUCGCAAGAUUAAAGCAGCAAUGCGCUUGGGGAUGGGCUCGCGUCCUAUUAGUUAGUUGGUGAGGUAACGGCUCACCAAGGCGAUGACGGGUAGCCGGUCUGAGAGGAUGUCCGGCCACACUGGAACUGAGACACGGUCCAGACACCUACGGGUGGCAGCAGUCGAGAAUCAUUCACAAUGGGGGAAACCCUGAUGGUGCGACGCCGCGUGGGGGAAUGAAGGUCUUCGGAUUGUAAACCCCUGUCAUGUGGGAGCAAAUUAAAAAGAUAGUACCACAAGAGGAAGAGACGGCUAACUCUGUGCCAGCAGCCGCGGUAAUACAGAGGUCUCAAGCGUUGUUCGGAAUCACUGGGCGUAAAGCGUGCGUAGGCGGUUUCGUAAGUCGUGUGUGAAAGGCGGGGGCUCAACCCCCGGACUGCACAUGAUACUGCGAGACUAGAGUAAUGGAGGGGGAACCGGAAUUCUCGGUGUAGCAGUGAAAUGCGUAGAUAUCGAGAGGAACACUCGUGGCGAAGGCGGGUUCCUGGACAUUAACUGACGCUGAGGCACGAAGGCCAGGGGAGCGAAAGGGAUUAGAUACCCCCGUAGUCCUGGCAG